rnacentral:rRNA from 1 species
GAGUUUGAUCCUGACUCAGAUUGAACGCUGGCGGCAUGCCUUACACAUGCAAGUCGAACGGCAGCAUGAUCUAGCUUGCUAGAUUGAUGGCGAGUGGCGAACGGGUGAGUAAUACAUCGGAACGUGCCCUGUAGUGGGGGAUAACUAGUCGAAAGAUUAGCUAAUACCGCAUACGACCUGAGGGUGAAAGUGGGGGACCGCAAGGCCUCAUGCUAUAGGAGCGGCCGAUGUCUGAUUAGCUAGUUGGUGGGGUAAAGGCCCACCAAGGCGACGAUCAGUAGCUGGUCUGAGAGGACGAUCAGCCACACUGGGACUGAGACACGGCCCAGACUCCUACGGGAGGCAGCAGUGGGGAAUUUUGGACAAUGGGCGAAAGCCUGAUCCAGCAAUGCCGCGUGUGUGAAGAAGGCCUCGGUGUAAG